rnacentral:rRNA from 1 species
GGGCCCGCACAAGCGGAGGAACAUGUGGUUUAAUUCGAUGAUACGCGAGGAACCUUACCCGGGCUAGAACGCACUUGGAAUGCGUGGGAAACUGCGCAGCCCUUCGGGGCCGGGUGCGAGGUGCUGCAUGGUUGUCGUCAGCUCGUGCCGUGAGGUGUCGGGUUAAGUCCCAUAACGAGCGCAACCCCUAUCGCUAGUUGCCAGCGGGUCAAGCCGGGGACUCUAGCGAAACUGCCAGCGUAAGCUGUGAGGAAGGUGGGGAUGACGUCAAAUCAGCACGGCCCUUACGUCCGGGGCUACACACGUGUUACAAUGGCCGGUACAGAGGGCAGCCACCCCGCGAGGGGGCGCUAAUCUCCAAAACCGGUCCCAGUUCGGAUCGGAGUCUGCAACCCGACUCCGUGAAGUUGGAUUCGCUAGUAAUCGCGCAUCAGCAACGGCGCGGUGAAUACGUUCCCGGGCCUU